rnacentral:rRNA from 1 species
AUACGGAGGAUCCGAGCGUUAUCCGGAUUUAUUGGGUUUAAAGGGUGCGCAGGCGGCCAUUUAAGUCAGCGGUUAAAUCGUGGGGCUCAACCCCAUUCUGCCGUUGAUACUGGGUGGCUUGAUUGCGGUCGAGGUUGGCGGAAUUCGUUGUGUAGCGGUGAAAUGCAUAGAUAUGACGAAGAACACCGAUUGCGUAGGCAGCUGACCAGACCGCAAAUGACGCUCAUGCAUGAAAGUGCGGGGAUCGAACAGGAUUAGAUACCCUGGUAGUCCGCACAGUAAACGAUGAAUACUUGUUUUCGGCGAUAUAAUGUCGGAGGCAAAGCGAAAGCGAUAAGUAUUCCACCUGGGGAGUACGCCGGCAACGGUGAAACUCAAAGGAAUUGACGGGG